rnacentral:pre_miRNA from 1 species
AGUGGAACAGGUGGGUCAUAUGGUGAUUCCAUUCCUAGUUUUUUUGAGGAGUCUCCACACUGCUCUCCAGAGUAGAUGUACUAAUUUGCACUCCCACCAACAAU